rnacentral:misc_RNA from 1 species
AACGCACAUUGCGCCCCUCGGUAUUCCGUGGGGCAUGCCUGUUCGAGCGUCAUUUACACCCUCAAGCUCUGCUUGGUGUUGGGCGUCUGUCCCGCCCCCGCGCGUGGACUCGCCCCAAAGUCAUUGGCAGCGGUCGUGCCCGGCUUCUUCGUGCAGCACAUUGCGCUUCUCGAAGCCCCGGUGGAUCGGCGUCCAGGAAGCCUCUAUACUCUUGACCUCGGAUCAGGUAGGGAUACCCGCUGAACUUAA